GGGGGCGUAACGGUAUCGAUUGCCGAUGCGGUGGUAUAGUUGCAUGUCGUGGUUGAUCGGUUGGCCACGUUAAAAGCCGAUCACACAAUAGGCGAUGAACCUAUGCUCCUCGCUGCUUAAACACAGCGAUAGGAACGCGGAGAGAUAGUCCUGGUAUCCGCUAGUACGACACUUACAAGGGCGCGGCCGAGCCAACGGGCCUGGGUUCGGGUCCGCAACAGGGGUCCCAUGGCUAAAUCCGGAUUAUGGCGAGCCUUCGAGUGAGUCCCGGAAAGGGUUGUCGGGCCCAAAUCCGACUAUACAUGUAGACGCUAUGCUGUAGCUCGAGCAAGACGGGGGUUCGACUCCCCCCGCC
rnacentral:tmRNA from 1 species